rnacentral:tRNA from 1 species
AUCCUUGUAGCUCAGCGGAAGAGCAGCGGAAUCCUAGUCCGCAUGUCCCGUGUUCGAAUCACGGCAGGGAUGCCA